GGGCAUGUAGGGUAGUCUGGAUCAUCCUUCCGGCCUUCGAAGCCGGUGACCCGGGUUCGAAUCCCGGCAUGCCCG
rnacentral:tRNA from 2 species